rnacentral:rRNA from 1 species
UACGUAGGGCGCAAGCGUUGUCCGGAAUUAUUGGGCGUAAAGAGCUCGUAGGCGGCUUGUCACGUCGGAUGUGAAAGCCCGGGGCUUAACCCCGGGUCUGCAUUCGAUACGGGUUAGCUAGAGUGUGGUAGGGGAGAUCGGAAUUCCUGGUGUAGCGGUGAAAUGCGUAGAUAUCUGGAGGAACACCGGUGGCGAAGGCGGCAUCCUGGACCAACACUGACGCUGAGUGAGCGAAAGCCAGGGGAGCAAACGGG